AUUGAACGCUGGCGGCAGGCCUAACACAUGCAAGUCGAGCGAGCGGCGGACGGGUGCGUAAUUUCUGGGAAACUGCCCGAUGGCGGGGGAUAACUACUGGAAACGGUAUCUAAUACCGCAUACCAUCAGAUGUGCCCAGAUGGGAAUAGCUAGUAGGUGGGGUAACGGCUCACCUAGGCGACGAUCCCUAGCUGGUCUGAGAGGAUGACCAGCCACACUGGAACUGAGACACGGUCCAGACUCCUACGGGAGGCAGCAGUGGGGAAUAUUGCAAAAUGAGCGCAAGCCUGAUGCAGACAUGCCGCGUGUGUGAAGAAGGCCUUCGGGUUGUAAAGCACUUUCAGCGGGGAGGCGUUACCCGCAGAAGAAGCACCGGCUAACUCCGUGCCAGCAGCCGCGGUAAUAC
rnacentral:rRNA from 1 species